rnacentral:rRNA from 1 species
AUUGAACGCUGGCGGCAGGCUUAACACAUGCAAGUCGAGCGAGCGGCGGACGGGUGAGUAAUGUCUGGGAAACUGCCUGAUGGAGGGGGAUAACUACUGGAAACGGUAGCUAAUACCGCAUACCAUCGGAUGUGCCCAGAUGGGAUUAGCUAGUAGGUGGGGUAAAGGCUCACCUAGGCGACGAUCCCUAGCUGGUCUGAGAGGAUGACCAGCCACACGUGAGCUGAGAUCCGCACCCGACUCCGUCGGGAGGCAGCAGUGCGGAAUGUGGCACAAUGGGUGCAAUCCAGAUACAGCCAUGCCGCGUGUAUGAAGAAGGCCUUCGGGGUGUCAAGUACUUUCGGCGGUGACGCGUUACCCGCAGAAGAAGCACCGGCUAACUCCGUGCCAGCAGCCGCGGUAUUUC